rnacentral:rRNA from 1 species
UACGGGGGGGGGCAAGCGUUGUUCGGAAUUACUGGGCGUAAAGGGCUCGUAGGCGGCCAACUAAGUCAGACGUGAAAUCCCUCGGCUUAACCGGGGAACUGCGUCUGAUACUGGAUGGCUUGAGAUUGGGAGAGGGAUGCGGAAUUCCAGGUGUAGCGGUGAAAUGCGUAGAUAUCUGGAGGAACACCGGUGGCGAAGGCGACAUCCUGGACCAACACUGACGCUGAGGAGCGAAAGCCAGGGGAGCAAACGGG